rnacentral:ncRNA from 1 species
CAAAGGCUUGGUCCUGACUUUAUUAUCAGUAUUAGCUGAGUUUAUACAUGCAAGUCUCCGCACCCCUGUGAGGAUGCCCACAACUUUCUAAUGAGAACUAGGAGCUGGUAUCAGGCUCAUAAUACGCCCACGACGCCUUGCUCAGCCACACCCCCAAGGGUCUACAGCAGUGAUAAAUAUUAAGCCAUAAGUGAAAACUUGACUUAGCAGCAGCUUACAGGGCCGGUAAACCUCGUGCCAGCUACCGCGGUGAUACGGAGGGCCCAAAUUGAUAAAUACGGCGUAAAGGGUGGUUAGAUUUACUUAAAACUAGGGCCGAACUCUCCCCUGACUGUUGUACGUUACGGAAUGAAGAAAACCAUAAACGAAAGUAGCCCUAAUCUAUUUGAACCCACGAAAGCUAGGAAACAAACUGGGAUUAGAUACCCCACUAUGCCUAACUAUAAACCCCGAUAAUACAACACAUAUUAUCCGCCCGGGUAUUACGAGCAUAAGCUUAAAACCCAAAGGACUUGGCGGUGCUUUAAACCCCCCUAGAGGAGCCUGUUCUACAACCGAUAAUCCCCGUUAAACCUUACCCUUUUUUGUUCUUUCCCGCCUGUAUACCUCCGUCUCCAGCUUACCCUGUGAAGGAUUAAUAGUAAGCACAACUGGUUUCACCCCCUAAACGUCAGGUCGAGGUGCAGCGCAUGAAAGGGUUAGUAGUGGGCUACAUUUACUAUUUUAGUAUAUACGAACAAAGUGCUGAAACACCACUUUCAAAGGAGGAUUUAGCAGUAAGAGGGGAACAGAGUGCCCCCCUGAAGUCGGCCAUAAAGCGCGUACACACCGCCCGUCACUCUCUCCAAAUAAUAGCAUUCCACUACUUAAGAUGACAAAACCUUUUAUUACCCGGAGAGACAAGUCGUAACAUGGUAAGCGUACCGGAAGGUGCUCUUGGAAAAU